rnacentral:tRNA from 1 species
GAGAGAUUAGUUAAAACAUAAUACAAGGUUGUCAGCCUUGAGUUACUAGCCUGGUUAGUAUCUCUUG